rnacentral:rRNA from 2 species
UGGCUCAGGAUGAACGCUAGCUACAGGCUUAACACAUGCAAGUCGAGGGGAAACGACAUCGAAAGCUUGCUUUUGAUGGGUGUCGACCGGCGCACGGGUGAGUAACGCGUAUCCAACCUGCCCAUCACUUGGGAAUAACCUUGCGAAAGUAAGACUAAUACCCAAUGAUAUCCCACGAAGGCAUCCGAAUGGGAUUAAAGAUUUAUCGGUGAUGGAUGGGGAUGCGUCUGAUUAGCUUGUUGGCGGGGUAACGGCCCACCAAGGCAACGAUCAGUAGGGGUUCUGAGAGGAAGGUCCCCCACAUUGGAACUGAGACACGGUCCAAACUCCUACGGGAGGCAGCAGUGAGGAAUAUUGGUCAAUGGGCGAGAGCCUGAACCAGCCAAGUAGCGCGCAGGACGACGGCCCUAUGGGUUGUAAACUGCUUUUAUAAGGGAAUAAAGUGAGUCUCGUGAGACUUUUUGCAUGUACCUUAUGAAUAAGGACCGGCUAAUUCCGUGCCAGCAGCCGCGGUAAUACGGAAGGUCCGGGCGUUAUCCGGAUUUAUUGGGUUUAAAGGGAGCGUAGGCUGGAGAUUAAGCGUGUUGUGAAUGUAGUGGCUCAACCUCUGCACUGCAGCGCGAACUGGUCUUCUUGAGUACGCACAACGUGGGCGGAAUUCGUGGUGUAGCGGUGAAAUGCUUAGAUAUCACGAAGAACUCCGAUUGCGAAGGCAGCUCACGGGAGCGCAACUGACGCUGAAGCUCGAAAGUGCGGGUAUCGAACAGGAUUAGAUACCCUGGUAGUCCGCACGGUAAACGAUGGAUGCCCGCUGUUGGCCUGAAUAGGUCAGCGGCCAAGCGAAAGCAUUAAGCAUCCCACCUGGGGAGUACGCCGGCAACGGUGCAACUCAAAGGAAUUGACGGA